AACUCCCAAAGAUGAGUAUCCUAUGCCCAUUGCUGAAACUAUGAUAGACGCUGCUGCAGGUGCUCUAGGCGUCUAUGAAUAGGUGAUGAUGCCAUUUGGAUUAAAAAAUGCAGGUGCUACUUAUCAGAGGGAAAUGAAUUUAAUAUUCCAUGAUUUAAUUGCAGGAGAAUUUCUGGGGUUUGUCAUACAUUAGAAAGGAAUUGAAGUUAAUCGAAAUAAGACGAAAGCUAUCAUGGAGACUAAACCUCCAUCGAACAAGAAAGAACUUCAAUCUCUCUUAGGUAAAGUAAACUUUCUGAGAAGAUUCAUAUCGAACUUGUCUGGUAAAACUAAAAUAUUUUCUCCUCUUCUACGUUUAAAAAAGGAGCAGGAAUUUCGAUGGAAUGAGGAGCACCAUAA